ACUAGCAGUAGUGAAUCAUCGAAUCUUUGAACGCAACACGCACUUUUUAUGCCCUUGUGGUAUAGAAAGUAUAUUUGUUUGAGUGUCACAUAUGAUAACAAUCAAUUCAAGAAUUAUAUUCUCGUAUUGACAUUUGAUAGUUUAAAUGUAUGUUAAUCUAUUUAAAUACACACGUAUUGUUGCUUACCAGUUUCAAUCAAAAAUGUUAUGGUUAAUAUGUAAAUUAUAUGUUGCCAUCUUUUGUAUAACUUGAUUCUAUCAGACAGUACUCUUUCUAUUAAAACUCAGAUAAUACUGAGUUAUUAAAAAGAAUUUUUCAUGACAUCAAAUCAAGUAAGGUUACCCGCUGAAUUUAAGCAUAUCAAUAAGCGGAGG
rnacentral:rRNA from 1 species